AUACGUAGGUGACAAGCGUUAUCCGGAUUUACUGGGCGUAAAGGGCGUGUAGGCGGUCUUGCAAGUCAGAAGUGAAAUUCCUGAGCUCAACUCGGGCGCUGCUUCUGAAACUGCAGGACUUGAGUGCUGGAGGGGAUAGCGGAAUUCCUAGUGGAGCGGUAAAAUGCGGAGAUAUUAGGAAGAACACCGGUGGCGAAGGCGGUUAACUGGACAGUUACUGACGCUGAGGCGGGAAAGGGUGGGGAGCAAACAGGAUUAAGUACCCUGGUAGUCCCCGCCGUAAACGAUGAAUACUAGGUGUAGGGGGUAUCGACUCCCUCUGUGCCGCAGUUAACACAAUAAGUAUUCCGCCUGGGGAGUACGGCCGCAAGGUUGAAACUCAAAUGAAUUGACGGGG
rnacentral:rRNA from 1 species